CCCUUAGAUGUUCUGGGCCGCACGCGCGCUACACUGAUGAAUUCAACGAGCACUAACCUGUGCCGAAAGGUUCGGGUAAUCUUGUGAAAUUUCAUCGUGAUGGGGAUUGAUUAUUGCAAUUUUUAAUCAUAAACGAGGAAUGCCUAGUAAGCGUGAGUCAUCAGCUCACGUUGAUUACGUCCCUGCCCUUUGUACACACCGCCCGUCGCUCCUACCGAUUGAAUGUGCCAGUGAAAAGUUCGGAUUGGAGAUAGGAGACGGCAACGUAUCCUAUUUCCGAGAAAAUCUUUAAACUUUCCCAUUUAGAGGAAGGAGAANUCGUANCA
rnacentral:rRNA from 1 species